GAAGCUAAGCAGGGUUGGUCCUGGUCAGUUAUUGGAUGGGAGACCAGGUGCUGCUGGAAGUGGUGUUGGAGUGCAGUAGGAGGCACUCUUUCCUCUGGUCUAAAAAAAAAAAGUCCCCCAAUAUCGCAUGGCAGUGUUUGGGGACACUGCCCUGUGUAGGGUGCUGUCUUUUGGAUGGGACCUUAAAAGGGUGUCCUGACUCUGAGGUCAUUAAAGAUCCCAUGGCACUUAUUGUAGGGGUGUCCUGGUUAAAUUCCCAAUCUGGCCCUCAAACCAUCAUGGUCACCUAAUAAGCCCCAGUUUACAAUUAGCUCAUUCAUCCCCCUCCUCUCCCCUGUAACUAUUCCCCAGGUCGUUGCUGCAAAUCAGAAUGUGUUCUCAGUCAACUUACCAGGUAAAGUAACAGAUAAAUAAAAAAUUGAUACAUCAUCCAAAGUGUACUUAGUAACUUCACCAUGCUCAAAAGGAUAUUCAAAUCAAAUUGUAUUUGUCACAUGCGCUGAAUACAGCAGGUAUUCUGUGAAAUGCUUACUUGCAAGCCCUUAACCAACAAUGCAGUUCAAUAAAUAUAGUUAAGAAAAUGUUUACUAAAUAAACUAAAGUAACAUUUUUUUAAAUAAAAAUGUAGCACAAUAAAAUAACAAUAUUGAGGCUAUAUACAGGGGGUACCGGUACCGAAUCAAUGUGUGGGAGUACAGAUUAGUAGAGGUCAUUUGUACAUGUAGGUAGGGAUAAAGGUAAUAAAAUGCAUAGAUAAUAAAUAGCGAGUAGUAGCGGGGGUCAAUGUACAUUUUCUGGGUGGCCAUUUGAUUCAUUGUUUAGCAGUCUUAUUAGCUUGGGGGUAGAAGCUGUUAAGGAGCCUUUUGGACUUAGACUUGGUACUCCGGUACUGCUUGCCGUGCGGUAGCGGAGAGAAAAGUCUAUUACUUGGGUGACUGGAGUCUUUGACAAUUUUAUGGGCCUUCCUCUGACACCGCAUAGGAUAUAGGUCCUGGAUGGCAGGAAGCUUGACCCCAGUGAUGUACUGGGACGUAAGCACUACCCUCUGUUGCGCCUUACGGUCGGAUACUGAGCAGUUGACAUAGCAGAUGGUGAUGCAACUGCUCAGGAUGCUCUCGAUGAUGCAACUGUAGAAUUUUUUGAGGAUCUGGGGACCCAUGCCAAAUCUUUUCAGUCUCCUGAGGGGGAAAUGGUGUUGUUGUGCCCUCUUCAUGACUGUCUUGGUGUGUUUGGACCAUAAUAGUUUGUUGGUGAUGUGGACACCAAGGAACAGUCUCAACGUCAACAGUGAAGAGGUGACUCCGGGAUGCUGGCGUUCUAGGCAGAGUUGCAAAGAAAAAGCCAUAUCUCAGACUGGCCAAUAAAAAGAAAAGAUUAAGAUGGGCAAAGGACAAAGGAACUCUGCCUAGAAGGCCAGCAUCCCGGAGUCGCCUCUUCACUGUUGACAUUGAGACUGGUGUUUUGCGGGUACUAUUUAAUGAAGCUGCCAGUUGAGGACUCGUGAGGCGUCUGUUUCUCAAACUAGACACUAAUGUACUUGUCCUCUACCUCACUUGUGCACCGGGGCCUCCCACUCCUCUUUCUUUUCUGGUUAGGGCCAGUGUGAGCUGUUCUGUGAAGGGAGUAGUACACAGCGUUGUACCAGAUCUUCAGUAUCUGGUCAAUUUCUCGCAGGGAAUAGAAUAAGAAUAAAUUGUUUCAGAAGGAAGGACUUUAUUUCUGCCCAUUUUAAGCCUGUAAUCGAACCCACAAAUGCUGAUGCUCCAGAUACUCAACUAGUCUAAAGGAGGCCAAUUUUAUUGCUUCUUUAAUCAGAACAACAGUUUUCAGCUGUGCUAACAUAAUUGCAAAAAGGUUUUCUAAUGAUCAAUUAGCCUUUUAAAAUGAUAAACUUGGAUUAGCUAACACAACUUGCCAUUGGAACACAGGAGUGAUGGUUGCUGAUAAUGGGCCUCUGUACACCUAUGUAGAUAUUCCAUUUGAAAAAUCUGCUGUUUCCAGCUACAAUAGUCAUUUACAACAUUAACAAUGUCUACACUGUAUUUCUGAUCAAUUUGAUGUUAUUUUAAUGGACAAAAAAUGUGAUUUUCUUUCAAAAACAAGGACAUUUCUAAGUGACCCCAAACUCAAGAAACGGUGGUGUAUAUUUUAUUUUCCACCCGUCUACCAAUAAGCGCCCUUUGCGAGGCAUUGAAAAACCUCCCUGUUCUUUGUGGUUGAAUCUGUUUUUGAAAUUCACUACUACCCGACGGAGGGACUUUACAGAUAAUUGCAUGUGUGGGGUACAAAGAUUACGUAGUCAUUAAAAAAUUAUGUAAACCACUAUUAUUGCACACACAGUGAGACAAUGCAACUUAUUAUGUGACUCCUGCUCUUAUUUAGGCUUGCCAUAACAAAGGGAUUGAAUACUUAAUGACUCAAGACAUUUCAGCUUUAACUUUGUAUUAAUUUGUAAAAAGAAAUUGGGAAUUGAUCCCCAAAUGCUCGUUGUUUGCAGUGAUUAGUAAUGUGUCAUCCUAUAUGUCAAAAAGUCACCCUUUUAUCUCCAAACCUCCCAUUGUUAUUGUGCAAUGAGCAGUCAGUAUGCUGGCUGGAACAGGCUGUACAGUACUGUAGCUGUCUUGCAGUGCUCUCUUUCACUCUCUCUCUCUCUUGCUCUCGCUCUCUUACUCGCCUCCUCCUCUUGAUGAGUUUCCUCUCCUUCACACUCUUGCAUAUCAAAAAGAUAGUUUGACCAUCUGUAGAUUAUAAUUUGAGACUAUCCAAAGUGUGACCUGAGAGAAAUAUGAAUACCUUGUCCUUACCUGGCUCUAUGCCAGUUUUAUGAUAUUGUUAUACACACUGUCUGAGAGAUUGUAUUGGUUUACACAAAACAUUUUCUAUAUAUUUUCUAGCAAGGGGUUUAGAUAUAGUACCGGUCAGUUCUGCCUCCUAUGUAAUAUGCGAGACCAUUCUUACCCUUUCCCCUGAUUCCAUUCCUAUUUCUUCCUGACGGUCUCACUUACUAAGAUUCUCUCCAAAGGGCUUGUUGGUGGGAGUGUGACUGCACAUUACAUUAUGAGCUACUGGCCGACCACUGGUUAUUUCUUCUCGUUUUUACCUCUGAUUUUCAAGGCUCACUAUCCUCUCUCCCGGUUUCAUUAAGGUCUCUGGUGGUAUGGCCUUGGAAACAUUUCUGUUUCUACAUGAACGGUCUACUCAAAGUGUAUGAGAAGUCAUAUUAGAUCAUUGAAAUGUAUAUAAAAAUGCCAUAUGAUCUUGCCAUAAUGACCAAUUUCUUUGUGUUUUGGUAAUGUAUUUGGCUAAUACUUAAGUUCAAUUUUCACUUUUAUUUAUUCAGUUUCUCAUUGAAAUAAAAUCUAUUUGCAAGAGACCUAGCUAUUGAACAUGAUCGGAGGGGUCAAGUAGUUUUUAUUAGUGUGGACUGUGUGUAAGGAAGAGUUUCUGUAAACUCAUGCCAUGCUCUUCCAAUAAGGGCAAGGUCAUGGCUAAGGGCCAACCAACCAGUUAAAUUAGGGAGAGGAGCAAAGGGUUGCUCUCGUGUAAUAUAACAAGGAAUGGAAAAGGGGUGUGGGGGUCGAUGUGGGAUCUAUGACAUCAUAGAACCUCCUCUGCAUGCUCAUGUUUAUUUACCGGAUUUAACCAAAUCCAUCUCUGAAUGAACUACUGCGCAACAUAAGUUGAAUUUAGUACUCUCUCUUUCUCUCACUCACACACAUACAAAAGCUGUGCAGUAGACAUAACUGUGUUCACAGUUAAUGUACAUAUGUUGUGUUUUUACCCAACUACCAGCACAUACUUUGCGACUGUCACAAAUUGAGAUACCGUUAUCUUUUGUAAAUCAUGCGUUAAAGGUAGAGUCAGCGAUAUGACUAGAUGCAGAAAGUAAACAGCAUAGUGGAUCAAUUUCCGGCAUCAACCAAGAGCGCUAAAGCGCGAAGAUCAACUUCUCCGCUGUUUUGGUGCCCUGGCUCAUCUGCUCGUGGCAACAUCAUUUCGCUGAGUUUGCCUUGGAAAGGGGCAAUCAACAGUUGCUAUAUCCAUUUUUGGACACCAUGACUCUUUCCACAUUUUGUUACGUAACAGCCUUAUUCUAAAAUAUAUUUUAAAAAUUCAAAGUCCUCAUCAAUCUACACAUAAUACUUCAAAAUGACAAAGGAAAUAUAUAUAUAUAAUAUUUACAUUAGUAUUCAGACCCUUUAGUCAGUACUUUGUUAAAGCACCUUUGGCAGCUAUUACAGCCUUGAGACUUCUUGGAUAUGAAGCUACAAGCUUGGGACACCUGUAUUUUGGGAGUUUCUCCCAUUCUUCUCUGUCUUAGAAAGACAUUAUACAGGUACCCUUCACAUAAAUUGUUAUCACCCUUUCUCACCAGCCUUUCCUGCUGAGGCUAGAGUCAGUGAGGCCCACCCGGGGCAUGAAGAAGGCAGAGAAGCUGGCAGACUACCAGUGCCAGGCCGGAUACCUGGGCAUCGCCACCACGCUCUCUGCCAUAGACAGAUCGCCCUCCAAUAUGGAACGGACCUCCAGCAGAACGUCAGCAGGAAAGAUGCCCAGGCCUGGCAGUACCAACCACCACCACAGUGCCAGGGCAUCAUAUGCCAUCGCUAUCGCCGCCACACCCCUACCCAGGCAUGCCAGUGCGGCAGCGUCCCGGCAACCUGGUCCUGAGAGCUGUGCUCAGGGAGGAGCACCAUUCCCCAACUCCCCACCUUACCAAGACCUUACCAAUAAGGCAAUUACUUGCCCCUAAACACUGAUCCAAGCUUAGCAGGUGGUGUAACGCUCGUCGUUGGGAGAGAGAGAGGAGGACCAAGGUGCAACGUGGUGGUAAGUAUUCAGAGUCUCUUUUAUUGAAAACGAAUACUUGCACAAAAACAACUAAACGAAACGAGAACGAAACGAAAACAGUCCUGAAUGGUGAAAUACAAACACAGAACAGAAAAUAAACACCCACGCAACACAGGUGGAAAAAGGCUACCGAAGUAUGAUUCUCAAUCAGAGACAACUAACGACACCUGCCUCUGAUUGAGAACCAUACCAGGCCAACCUCAAAAACCAACAUAGAAAAACCAACAUAGACAACCCACCCAACUCACGCCCUGACCAUACUAAAACAAAGACCUAAAUAAAAGAACUAAGGUCAGAACGUGACAGGUGGUGCCUAUCAAUAUGCUUAGUGAAUAGAGGAAGUACUAUGUAUGCCAUGCUGUAUUUCCACUCUUGUGAAAUUUGUUCAAGUGGAACUUUUCAUCAAUGUUUCUGUUAUUGUUGUGUGUCACACCCUGACCAUAGUUUACUUUGUAUAUUUCUAUGUUUUGGUUGGUCAGGGUGUGAGCUGAGUGGGCAUUCUAUGUUUCAUGUCUAGUUUGUCUAUUUCUAUGUCUGGCCUGAUAUGGUUCUCAAUCAGAGGCAGGUGUUAGUCAUUGUCUCUGAUUGGGAACCAUAUUUAGGUAGCAUGGGUUUCACUGUGUGUUUGUGGGGGAUUGUUCCUGUAUCUGUGUUUUCACCAGAUAGGGCUGUUUUUGUAUUGAUUCGUGUUUUACGUUUGUUGAUUAAACAUGGAUCGCAAUCUACACGCCGCAUUUUGGUCCGACUCUCCUUCACCAAAAGAGAACCGUUACAUUAUGAUGAAUAAUGAGAGAGAUAUUUGUGUACUAGUAAAGCUUUUUUAGAAUAUCAUGGGAGAAUUAGUCAUACUUUUUUAUUGUGAUCCUGUGCAAAUUUCUUGAUGUUUUCCAAUAAAGCUGCUUGUUGCCGCACCACUCAUGUC
ensembl:lncRNA